GGAUUGAACGCUGGCGGCAUGCCUUACACAUGCAAGUCGAACGGCAGCACGGGAGCAAUCCUGGUGGCGAGUGGCGAACGGGUGAGUAAUACAUCGGAACGUGCCCAAUCGUGGGGGAUAACGCAGCGAAAGCUGUGCUAAUACCGCAUAAGAUCUACGGAUGAAAGCAGGGGAUCGCAAGACCUUGCGCGAAUGGAGCGGCCGAUGGCAGAUUAGGUAGUUGGUGAGGUAAAGGCUCACCAAGCCUUCGAUCUGUAGCUGGUCUGAGAGGACGACCAGCCACACUGGGACUGAGACACGGCCCAGACUCCUACGGGAGGCAGCAGUGGGGAAUUUUGGACAAGUGGGCGAAAGCCUGAUCCAGCCAUGCCGCGUGCAGGAUGAAGGCCUUCGGUUGUAACUGCUUUUGUACGGAACGAAAGUCUCUUUACUAAUAAAGAGGAUCAUGACGGUACCGUAAGAAUAAGACACCGGCUAACUACGUGACCG
rnacentral:rRNA from 1 species